UCGGACUUAGCGGCGGACGGGUGAGUAACGCGUGGGAACAUACCCUUUGGUACGGAACAACACGGGGAAACCUGUGCUAAUACCGGAUAAGUCCUAACGGAGAAAGUUUUAAUGCCAAAAGAUGAGCCCGCAUUUGAUUAGCUAGUUGGUAAGGUAAAAGCUUACCAAGGCGACAAUCAAUAGCUGAUUUGAGAGGAUGAUCAGCCACACUGGGACUGAGAUACGGCCCAGACUCC
rnacentral:rRNA from 1 species